UAUGUUGUUAUCAUUGUUAUUAUAGCAAAAGGUUUGGAAACAACCAAAAUGUUCAUCAGUAGGAAACUCAUUAAAUAAAUUAUACAACACUGGCAUAACGGAAUACUAUAUAGAUGUUUAAAAAGUGAGACAGCCCUCUAUGUACUGACAUGGUAGGUAUUUCACAUUACAUACAGAAGGUAUGUAAUUCACAUAAUAUAAAAAACAAUUGAGUUUUAAAAUAUGUGAUCUGCUUAUAUAUUCAUGAUAGUUUUUUUUAUAUGUAAUAUAUAAUAUCAGAAAGGCAGCUUAGAGUAGAGAAUAAGAACACAAACCCUGGAACCAGGCUGCCCAAGUCUGAAACCUGGUUCUUACUGUCUGUGUGAUCUUGAAGACACUUAACCUCCCUGUCUCAAUAUGAUCGUUUACUACUUACCUCGCAGUAUUGAUUAGAGCAUUCAAUGACUUAAUAUGCAUGAAGCAGUUAGAACUGGGUGUGAUGCACAGCAGAGAAGUUACUAUUAUAUACCACACUUUGAAAAGAGCAAAGUGUGAAGGUGUAUAAUAACAAAUAACUUCUGCAAGCCUAAGAUUCUUCUCUCCUUACAAAUUGUGCUUACUAGUAAUUGAGAUGUCCCAAUAAUGUGUUAAGUGUGGUGCUGGCCCAUGGUAUGUGCCCAGGAAGUGUCAUGGUUCACAGUACUGCUUGCUUUUCACUUUCAUUUUAUUCCAGGUAUCCCCAGAACACUGAUUCUCCUCCUCAAGCUGCCUGCAUUCCAGAAUCUGAGACCAGAUUUCCUUGGAUGGAAGAGUAAGGCCAGACUUUGGGGUUAGCGACUGGGCUGGAAGAUUGUUCAUCAUCAAUGUCCUCUCCAAUUCUGAC
rnacentral:lncRNA from 13 species